rnacentral:lncRNA from 1 species
UUCUCACGAGAUCUCAUGGUUUUAUAAAUGGCGGUUUCGGCUUUUUGGUCUUUCCUGCUGCCUUGUGAAGAAGGUGCUUGUUUCUUCUUUGCCUUCUGCCAUGAUUGCCAUGUGAAUCGCACCCCUGGAACUGUGCAGGGCCCACCUGUGUGGCCACACGCAGUGACCCUGAGCAAAGGAGUGACCACAGAAGUGCAUGGCAAAGCAGAAAGGUGUGACGUCUUGGAGGACGCGGGAGGAAAGCACGCCCAGCGGACAGGAGCCAUCACGCGGCUGCGGGCUGCUGCUGAGAACCUGGCGUGGGCCACCGUCGUCAGCAGCGUGGAGGAACGCAUAUGCUGCCUCCUUUCUGAUAGGGAGACCCACCCACCUGUUCACCUCUCUGCAUGUGGUCUGCGAGCGGGCUUGGAGCCACAUCUGAAGCCUCACCUCUAGGAGCCAGUUUUGUCUCCUCCUCGUCCCUGCUUCUUAUCAGUCGUGCGGCUGGAUGGCAGAGGUGAUAAAGCUGGGAAGAGAGGCAUCCUGGAAGGGCCCGUGUUAUGAAAACCCAGAGUUUCACUCAGAUCGACAGCUGCGUGGGGGCCGGCGCUCCCGGCAGUGAUUGAGUUACCCUCAGCAGCGGGGUCCCGAGGUCGCAAUCCCUGCUGGGGGAGUGAUUGAUGCCGGACUCCAGGGCCCACCUUGGGUGACCCUGGGAUGUCAAUGAGUGACCGCUGAUUCUGGGCCACUUGGUUCUGGGCCACCCGCAUGUCCAGAGACCUCAAGGUGGGCCGACGUCCAACCAGCGAAGCAGAGCAAUCCUUUUGGAAGCUUCUCUCCACGGGGGGCUGGCUGCUCCUUCAUCACUCCCAUCUGAGGGCUUCUGCUUGCAGCCGUCUGUCACGCUGAGCAGCUCUGUGGUGGAUUCUGUGCUGCUUGCUCUGUGUCUAUUUUGUCAAGAUCGCCAGUCUCUCUGGAUUCUCUCCUCUGGGUUGGCCCACGCUCACUCAUCCGGCUUUGGAAGGACAUUUAUCCUCUAGCUUCCUCCAGGAGGGGGAUUUGUCUUAGAGAGUGGCACUUUCUCUUCCCUCCCCAGCCCCUCGUGCACCUUCUGCAGGGAGGGGAGUCCCCUGGUGCUGAGAGGAGAGGUAGGAGAGCCAGGUAGGGCCUGUGGGAGCCCAGCAGAGGUGCCCUGGCCACCUUGAGUGUCUGAGACUCACGGUCUAUUAAAAAUGGAAAAACAAACUGGGCACCGUGGCUCCUACCUGUAAUUCCAGCACUUUGGGAGGCUGAGGCGGGUGGAUCACUUGAGGUCAGGAGUUCAAGACCAGCCUGACCAAUGUGGUGAAACCUUGUCUCUACUAAAAAUACAAAAGUUAGCUGGGUUUGGUGGUACACACCUGUAAUCCCAGCUACUUGGGAGGCAGAGGCAGGAGAAUCGCUUGGACCUGGAAGGUGGAAGUUGCAGUGAGCAGAGAUUGUGCCACUGCACUCCAGCCUGGGUGACAGAGUGAGACUCUUGUCUCAAAAAAAAAAAACAAACAGAAAAAGAAAAAAGAAAAAAAGGAAAAACAACAAAGUUAGCGCUGAGCAGGGUUUCAGGAUUCUAGACCUGGUUUAAAAUGCAUUGCAUGGAAUAACCUGUUUAAUCUGCAAGUUAACUCUCUGAUACAGCGAGUGGUAUUAUCACAAUUUUGACAAGAUAAAGGCACAAAACAAGAUUUAAGAUUUUUUUUUUAAAAAAGGACAGACACCCAUUAAUUCUAAAUAAUUAAAGAUCAAUUCAUUAUGUACACAUACCGUUGACCCCUGAACAGCGUGGGUUUGUACUGGCUGGGUCCGUUUAUAUGUGGAUUUUCCUCUGCCUCUGCCACCCCUGAGACAGCAAGACCAACCCCUCCUCUUCCUUUUCCUCCUCCUCAGGUUCCUCAAUGUGAAGACGACAACGAUGAAGAUCUUUAUGGCUGGGUUCAGUUUUGGUGUCUCAACACCCGUAAUCUUAGCACUUUGGGAGGCCAAGGUGGAUGGAUGGCUUGAGCCCAAGAGUUUGAGACCAGCUUGAGCAAUGUAGUGAAACCCUAUCUCUACAAAAAACUAGCAGGGCGUGUGCCUGUAGUCCCAGUUACUCGGGAGGCUGAGGUGGGAGGACCUGAGCCCAGGGAGAUUGAGGCUGCAGUGAGCCCUGAUUGCGCCACUGCACUCCAGCCUGGGAGUGCGGUCUCAAAGAAAACCCAGUCUCAAGAAACAAAACAAAACAACCCAAAAAAGAUCUUAAGAUGAUCCACUUCUGCUUAAUGAUCAGUGAAUAUUUUUCCUUAUGAUUUUCUUAAUAACAUUUUCUUUUCUCUAGCUUACUUUAUUGUAAGAAUAUAGUAUAUACUUAUAAAACAGAUAAAA